AGCGAACGCUGGCGGCAGGCCUAACACAUGCAAGUCGAACGAACCCUUCGGGGUUAGUGGCGGACGGGUGAGUAACACGUGGGAACGUGCCUUUAGGUUCGGAAUAACUCAGGGAAACUUGUGCUAAUACCGAAUGUGCCCUUCGGGGGAAAGAUUUAUCGCCUUUAGAGCGGCCCGCGUCUGAUUAGCUAGUUGGUGAGGUAAUGGCUCACCAAGGCUACGAUCAGUAGCUGGUCUGAGAGGAUGACCAGCCACAUUGGGACUGAGACACGGCCCAAACUCCUACGGGAGGCAGCAGUGGGGAAUUUUGCGCAAUGGGCGAAAGCCCGACGCAGCCAUGCCGCGUGGAUGAUGAAGGUCUUAGGAUUGUAAAAUCCUUUCACCGGUGAAGAUAAUGACUGUAGCCGGAGAAGAAGCCCCGGCUAACUUCGUGCCAGCCGCCGCGGUAAUAC
rnacentral:rRNA from 1 species